rnacentral:tRNA from 1 species
GGGCGUUUGGCGCAGUUGGCAGCGCGCAUGCUUAGCAACAAUGAGCUAAUAUGCAUGAGGUCAUGGGUUCGAUUCCCAUAAUGUCCA